AUCUACAGGACCUUGCCAUCCAUAGAGAAAACCUAUUCAACAUUCACUCAGCUGGAUCUCCUCUGUCAGAGUGGAGAACACCUUAGAGUAAUUGGCACGACCUGAAUGUGGUAACGGAUGCUGAUGCCUCAAGCUCCCCAUUAGAUCCUUUAAGAAAAAGCAGAUGGGUCCAUAAGUUUCACCUGUCUGGCAAUGAGAAUAAACACACACGCACACACCCACCCACACGCACACACCCACUCAUGCGCUCAGUAAGAACUCCUGCUCCAGAGAACUACUGCA